GUAGUCAUAUGCUUGUCUCAAAGAUUAAGCCAUGCAUGUCUAAGUAUAAGCACUUUAUAACUGUGAAACUGCGAAUGGCUCAUUAAAUCAGUUAUCGUUUAUUUGAUAGUACCUUAACUACAUGGAUACCUGUGGUAAUUCUAGAGCUAAUACAUGCUAAAAACCUCGACUUCGGAAGGGGUGUAUUUAUUAGAUAAAAAACCAAUGCCCUUCGGGGCUCCCUGGUGAUUCAUAAUAACUUGUCGAAUCGCAUGGCCUUGCGCCGGCGAUGGUUCAUUCAAAUUUCUGCCCUAUCAACUUUCGAUGGUAGGAUAGUGGCCUACCAUGGUGGCAACGGGUAACGGGGAAU
rnacentral:rRNA from 1 species